rnacentral:rRNA from 1 species
AGUCUGACCGAGCAACGCCGCGUGAGUGAAGAAGGUUUUCGGAUCGUAAAACUCUGUUGUUAGAGAAGAAUGUUGAUUAGAGUGGAAAAUUAAUCAAGUGACGGUAUCUAACCAGAAAGGGACGGCUAACUACGUGCCAGCAGCCGCGGUAAUAAU